rnacentral:tRNA from 1 species
UCUCUCGUAACUCAAUCGGUAGAGUGUAGGACUGUUAAUCCUGAAGUAGGGGGAUCGAAACCCUCCGAGAGAG